rnacentral:rRNA from 1 species
UACAGAGGGUGCAAGCGUUGUUCGGAAUUACUGGGCGUAAAGCGCACGUAGGCGGCUUUGUAAGUUAGAGGUGAAAGCCCGGGGCUCAACUCCGGAAUUGCCUUUAAGACUGCAUCGCUAGAAUUGUGGAGAGGUAAGUGGAAUUCCGAGUGUAGAGGUGAAAUUCGUAGAUAUUCGCAAGAACACCAGUGGCGAAGGCGGCUCACUGGCCCGGUACUGACGCUGAGGUGCGAAAGCGUGGGGAGCAAACAGG